rnacentral:rRNA from 1 species
CCUACGGGAGGCAGCAGUGGGGAAUAUUGCACAAUGGGGGGAACCCUGAUGCAGCGACGCCGCGUGGGUGAGGAAGUACUUCGGUAUGUAAAGCCCUAUCAGCAGGGAAGAAAAUGACGGUACCUGACUAAGAAGCCCCGGCUAACUACGUGCCAGCAGCCGCGGUAAUACGUAGGGGGCAAGCGUUAUCCGGAUUUACUGGGUGUAAAGGGAGCGUAGACGGCGUGCCAAGUCUGGUGUGAAAGGCCGGGGCUCAACCCCGGGACUGCAUUGGAAACUGGCAUGCUGGAGUGCAGGAGGGGCAAGCGGAAUUCCUAGUGUAGCGGUGAAAUGCGUAGAUAUUAGGAGGAACACCGGUGGCGAAGGCGGCUUGCUGGACGGUAACUGACGUUGAGGCUCGAAAGCGUGGGGAGCAAACAGGAUUAGAUACCCCUGUAGUC